CACUGAGGAGUUUCCCUUUUGUGAGGAAAGCUGUCAUGUCACUUCCUGCUGCUGACAAGUCAGUUUGGGAGAUUAAAAUGAAGGGGGGCGGGGUGCCUCUGAGAAGUGCUGGCUGCUUGGUUUCUGUUGCUGUAUACAGAGGCAAACAAUGCCAGCCUGCUGACCCUGCCUUGCUGGAGCGGGCUUUCCCACACCCCCUAGUGGGGUGUAUCCCGGUCACCUGGGGCUGUUUGUCUCCAAAGGUUGCAUUCUGGGUAGCAGGCAGUGACACUGAGACCCAGAGAUGUCCAGUGUCCUGGGCCAAGUAACAUAAUGGAGGCAGAAACAGCAUUAAAACACCACAGGGGCUGCAGGCACUGGAACCUUCCAGCCUCUAACCCUCCUCCACAGCUCGGAAGACCUAGAAAGAACACCACAGCUCUGCUGGCUAGAACCAGUUAACAGGUCAAGGUCCUGGCACAGGCUCAAGCAAAGGUCUCCAGUCCACAGAGCUCUUUCUCUACACAUGCAGCUCUGGGUACGAAUGAAUACAUGUUAUCAGUGUGGUAGGCAGGGGCCAUAUAAAGGUUGAUUCAUGAGGCUGAGACCUUCGUGGGGUUCAGGUGCAGUCUGGUGGGGGAGACAGACACAAUGUGGUGACCUUAGGUGUUAGUCACACAGAGAGCCAUCCAGGGAGAGGCAACAGGGUUGGUGUGAUGUGGUGUGGUGUGGUGGCAGCGGUGGGAGAGGGUAGAGCAUUGCUACGGAAACGUGGAGUGCCAGGGGAGGGUUGUGAGAAUAAGACUUGCUGGCUGACCUCAAGGGACCCUAAGGAGCUUCAGCGGGAUGGCUGCAGGGCCCGAGGAAGGAAAGGCCCUCCGGGUGGCUCUGAGGUAUCUAGGGCACAGGGUGCUAGCUACCUCCAUGGGGAAGCCUCAGGUACAAGGCUCAGGUCUGCUAUUCUUCAUGACCCUAGGCGUGUUCCUUCCUUCUGAGACUCCCAUUUCAUCCCUUCAUCUACAUAAAGUAGCCGCUACGGCACAACAGAGUACCUGCACUCUGCACAGGCUAAACUCUGUCUUUUCUUUCUUUCUUUUCCUGGUUGCUUAUGGUCCCUGAUUUGGCUGAGGGUCCUAGUUUCUUCGUCUGAGAACCCAGGAACUGCUUCUCUGUGUUUGUGGCUAUAUGGGCUGUGGCAAGCUGAUGCACCCUUUAGUCGGCAUCUUGGAAAAGCAUGGCACCAGCCUCCUUGGAUUCCCAAGACAUCCCUGGCUGCCCAAGGGCCUUUGAGGAUUGCACCUCUGUGUGGAUUCCCUUGUCCUUGGCCACUUCCCUGCCUCCUCCAUGCCUCCCGCUGGUCACCCUGUCAUAUCACCAGACGGAUGCUUGCCAGGGCCUGUGAAGAAGUUCCUGAAGAAGUUCCUUUCUGGGCUGUCAGAUGGCUCAGUGGGUAAGAGCACCUGACUGCUCUUCUGAAGGUCCAGAGUUCAAAUCCCAGCAACCACAGGUGGCUCACAACCAUCUGUAACAAAAUCUGACUCCCUCUUCUGGAGUGUCUGACAGUGUACUUACAUAUAAUAAAUAAAU
rnacentral:lncRNA from 1 species